rnacentral:rRNA from 1 species
AUGCCAUGGGUGGAAACGGACCAGGACAAAAUAAUUACUACAAUAGCCAGCUUGUUGUAUAUUCUGACUGAAAAAAUUAUUUCCACAAUCCUUAUUCUGUCCACUCUUUGCUCACAGGACGAAGACAGAUUCCAUCUCUGCGCUCCUGCAACCAUGAGCUUGUCUGCCGCCGGGAUCAUCAGUGCCAUCAAUGAUUGUGUCAGUUUGUUUCUGUCGGCCAAAUCUGCCAUUUCAUCUCUGCGCUCCCGAUGGAGUGGCUCACAAGAGCAAAGUCUCCAAGAUCAUGUAUUGCAAUUACAGAGUGAUGUACAACAUCUCUGUGACACUCUUCCUGCAAUGUAUCACCUCAUUAAUGGAGCAGAGUGGAGAAGCUAUGAAGAGCAUGUGGCCAAGCUCCUUCCGAGUCUCAAGGAUGCCGUGUCUGAGGCCGAGGACCUUAUUGAUGAGUUCAGAUGGCACGAGAUGAAGGUGCAAGUGGAAGGCAAUGCAAUCCAAUCUCCUUUCAUUGACUUCCUUGAUAAGGUCAUUCAUGGAAACUUCAACAUGUUGAAUGAUGUCCAAUUGAGGUUGAAUUACCUUUCGAGUGAGAUGAAGGGUAUGGGGCUUCGUGAAGUUACACAUCACUUUGCCAAAUCAGUUAGGCCAGUGACCACCUCUUUGUUGUCAAAGGAAACAAAGAUAUUUGGUCGUGAGAAGGAGUUGAAACAGGUAUUGGGGUUUCUUAAUGUACCUACACGUCCAAAACGCAAAAGGGCAACUAGUUCAAUAUGUGCAUCAACAAGCACAUCAUCAAGCAACCAUGUUAAUGCUGAACCAAAAAUAUCAAGUCUUCCUGUUUUGGUGGUAGCUGGAAUUGGUGGCGUUGGAAAGACUACUUUGGCCCAACAUAUCUGCAACCAUCAACGAGUGAAGUCUCACUUCGAGCUAAUAAUUUGGAUUUGUGUCUCAGAUGACUUCAAUGAGAAGAGGUUAACUAAAGAGGUCAUAGAAUCAUCUACUGGAAAGGGGCCAAAGAUUGAUCAUUUGGAUUCUCUUCAACGUGCUCUUUAUAACCACGUGAAAAAUAAAAGGUUAUUGAUAGUCCUUGAUGAUGUGUGGGAUGAUGCUUUGAAGGAUAAUGGGCGAUGUUGGGAGAUGUUUUGUGCACCUUUUACAAGUGUCCAAGAGGGAAGUGCGAUGUUAGUCACCACUAGAUGUCCAAAUGUUACCAAGGCCGUGCACACAAUGGAACCAGUUAUAGUUGAAGGUUUAAAGGACGAUGUCUUUUGGAAUUUCUUCAAGUUAUGUGCAUUUGGAUCUGAGGGUUCUAGCAAUGAUCCUGAGUUAGAGUGUAUUGGAAGAAAAAUACUUCCUAAAUUGAAGGGUUCUCCUUUGGCCGCCAAAACUCUAGGGCGCAUGUUAAGCAUGGACCUUCAAGCAUCUCAUUGGAGUUCCAUACUUGAGAGUGAACUGUGGGAGUUGAAACAAAAGGAAACCGAGAUUUUGCCUGCCCUUCGGUUGAGCUACAUGUAUUUACCAUUCUAUUUGAAACAAUGCUUUGCAUUCUGCGCCGUGUAUCCCAAAGAUUACAAAUUUGAGAAGGCAUGCUUAGCUGAAAUUUGGGUGGCAGAAGGCUUUGUGGAGCCUCGAGGUGGUGUUCCCAUUCAAGAUAUUUGCUAUCAGUAUUUUGAAGACCUUGUGGCGCGGUCCUUCUUUCAAAAGGUUAAUGGUCGAUAUGUAAUACAUGACUUGCUGCAUGACAUGGCACAAAAAGUUUCAGAGCACGACUGCUUCAUCUUACGAAAUAAGAGUGACUUUGAUAAAGUUCCCCAGAAUGUUCGCCAUAUAUACAUACUCCCUAGCAGUGAAUUUGAUGAUUCCAACUUGUUGAUACUAUGCAAGUACACGAAGCUACGCACCCUAAUUUGCAAGAAUAAUUUAGGGAAAAGAACAAGCUUUGUAAUGGAUCACUGGUGUGCUAAACUUCCGCGUAUGCGUGUGAUCUCUUUUGUCUUCACAAAUGUGUUGCCAGAUAGUAUUGGUAACUGGAAGCAUCUUCGGUACCUUGAAAUCUCUAGAGCUUGUCCUUUGAAGAGGAUCCCUUCAACUUUCUGUUGGCUAUAUAAUAUGCAGAUUUUAUAUGCCAAGAAAUGCAAGAUACAAAGCUUACCCGCUGACUUUGAUAAGUUGACCAGUUUACAGAAAUUUGAAUCAAAUGGAUUAACUAUUGAUGCAGCCAAUCAAGAGGGACAAGGAAUUAGGUCAAUUAAGAAUCUAAAUCAAAUUCGUGGAUACUUGGAGAUAGCUAAUAUUGGUGUUGGCAUCCUAACUAAGGAUCAUGCAGCAGAAGCUGAACUAAAGAAAAAGAAAUAUGUUGACGAGUUGGUACUAAAGAUGCGAGGUGCUUUACGCUCCCUUGAGUUUUAUAUCCACAACAAUGAUAUAGAAGUGCUUGAAGUUCUACAACCUCCUAUCAGCCUCAAGUCUCUGUUCGUCGAGAAUUAUGUCGGUGUCUCGCUCCCAAGCUGGUUUCAACCACAAAACUUGCCAAGCUUAACAUCUCUCAAUUUUAAGGGUUGUAUUGGACUGAAGAGCAUAAACCUGAACAAGAUACCUGCAAUUGGUACUUUCUUGUCCUUGACAAACUUAUGGAUUGAUGGGUGCGAAAAUUUAUCAAGCCUAGAAGAUUUUCUGCAACCAAGUUAUGUACCUGGCAUCAAGAAAAUAAAUAUUAUGGAUUGCAAGAUGUUAGCAUCUGUACCAACUGAGAGUUUUGGGGGUUUUCAUUUCCUUGAAGAACUGGGCAUAUUUGAUUGUCCGAACAUCUGUCACCAAAGAUUGGUAUCGCCAUCCCUCAAGGAGCUCCAUUUGUGUCGUUCUAGUCUCUUUUGCAAUAUUGACUGCUGCUCCCUCACCUCCUUUCAUUGUCAAUGUGAGUUUUCCACAUCCAUACAACUACAAACGUGGAGUCUUCCAGCUUUAAAAACGUUGGUAAUUUGGUGCAAAUCUCUUACAUCUAUUGGAGGCUCUAGCUGCAUUAGAGCAUUCCCAUCCCUUACUAUCCUACAAGUUCAGUUCUGUGAUAAAUUGUCAACCCUUGAUGGCAUCCUAACACAAGAAUACCUACCUGCUAUUGAGAAAAUUGGCGUCGAAUUUUGUCCUGAUUUACUGUCCCUGCCAGUUGAAAGGUUUGUGAAUUUUCCUCAUCUGAAACAUCUCGUGGUUUCUAUUUGCCCAAGUCUCAACUGGCAAAGGGGGCUUGUGUUGCCAUCAUCUCUCCAAAGACUAAGCUUCAGGAGCUGCGGCGAUAUUUCUCCAUAUGUUCCCAGCUGCCUACAGAACCUCACAUCCCUCGUCUCGCUGAGCAUUGGUAGGUGCCAGGGUAUAACAUCCAUUCCAGGUGACAUUUGGAGCGGUAAUCUUACAUCACUUGAGGAACUGAGGAUUUCGGAAUGUCCAGACCUAGUUUCAUUUGGUGGAGCAGAGGCAGUUACAAAUAUAAAGAAGAUUCAGAUAUACAAAUGUCCAAAGUUAAAGGAAGCGGAUCAGAUCGAUAGAUGA